rnacentral:SRP_RNA from 1 species
UUAAUACCUAUAUCCAAUGACCAAGGAGUGAACCAGGUCAGGUCGUGACAGAAGCAGCCUUAAGCUCUCUUGUCAUGUGGAUAUAGGUACCUAAGA